rnacentral:rRNA from 1 species
CGCGGGAAUUCGAUUAGAGUUUGAUCAUGGCUCAGAUUGAACGCUGGCGGCAUGCCUAACACAUGCAAGUCGAACGGUAGCAGGCCUUCGGGUGCUGACGAGUGGCGGACGGGUGAGUAAUGCGUAGGAAUCUGUCUUUUAGUGGGGGACAACCCAGGGAAACUUGGGCUAAUACCGCAUGAGCCCUGAGGGGGAAAGCGGGGGAUCCUCGGACCUCGCGCUAAGAGAAGAGCCUACGUCUGAUUAGCUAGUUGGUAGGGUAAAGGCCUACCAAGGCGACGAUCAGUAGCUGGUCUGAGAGGACGACCAGCCACACUGGGACUGAGACACGGCCCAGACUCCUACGGGAGGCAGCAGUGGGGAAUUUUUCGCAAUGGGGGCAACCCUGACGAAGCAAUGCCGCGUGGAUGAAGAAGGCCUUCGGGUUGUAAAGUCCUUUCGUGGGGGACGAAAGGGUGGUUCCUAAUACGGGCUGCUGUUGACGUGAACCCAAGAAGAAGCACCGGCUAACUCCGUGCCAGCAGCCGCGGUAAUACGGGGGGUGCAAGCGUUAAUCGGAAUCACUGGGCGUAAAGGGUGCGUAGGCGGUACGUUAGGUCUGUCGUGAAAUCCCCGGGCUCAACCUGGGAAUGGCGGUAGAAACCGGCGAACUAGAGUAUGGGAGAGGGUGGUGGAAUUCCAGGUGUAGCGGUGAAAUGCGUAGA